rnacentral:tRNA from 1 species
AUGGUAGUUAGUUUAACCAAAACAAAUGAUUUCGACUCAUUAAAUUAUGACAUUAUCAUAACUACCAA